rnacentral:rRNA from 1 species
GACGAACCGUGCGAACGUUGUUCGGAAUCACUGGGCUUAAAGGGCGCGUAGGCGGUUUGCCAAGUCAGGGGUGAAAUCCUGCAGCUCAACUGUAGAAGUGCCUUUGAUACUGGCGAACUCGAGGGAGGUAGGGGUGCGUGGAACUUCUGGUGGAGCGGUGAAAUGCGUUGAUAUCAGAAGGAACGCCGGUGGCGAAAGCGACGCACUGGACCUCUUCUAACGCUGAGGUGCGAAAGCGUGGGGAGCAAACAGG